GGGAUAUGGCAAUGAUUCCCAAGGAUCUCAUCUACCCACACCAUGGGAAGAGUAUGCAGUCCUGCAGUCUGGGAAAGUGAACUCAGAAAUAACUAGGGACAAGAUAUACAAAAGAGCCAUUGCACAGAGCUAAAGAAGCACAAAACUAAAACUGAAUUGUAUCAAAGAGCACACAGAUCAAAAAAGAAGAAACCAAUGCAGCUGGCUGCUUACAUUAUGAGGACACGGGCCUUCUGAUUAAGGUCGAUAAAUCCAGUGCUUUGAGGACAAAAGAAGCAGAACAUUCACUUUCAGUAAUGGAAGGCUUCAACCCCAUAUAGUGUUUGUUCCACCAAGCUACUCUGCUUUUUAUGGAGGAAGACCCUCUGGAUGUAUCUCAUAAAGUUCACACAGAUGUCAUAGAAUGAAAACUAUUACCAAAUAGUACCCUAGACUACCUAAUGCAGGCCCACAUUUCUUCUAUUUCUCUGACGCCAA
rnacentral:lncRNA from 1 species